GGUUCAUAUGUUGAUAUACUUACCAGUGUUAUAUGUACACAUGAAGGCAUAUUUGCUGGUGCAAUUCUGAUCACUCCAGUACAUCAAACCGCGUUUACCACGCUCCAGACUCAUAUACACACAACUUUUAUCUGUUCGUCUCUCAUCAGGCUGUCCAGCAUACCAGUUGGUCCAGGAAACAGAAGAAUUAUCUGACCACUCAUAAACACCUUUUGUCUUUAAAUCAUUUAACCCAAUCCAGACGUUCGAGUACCAUGUUCGUUCCAUAAGACUUGUUACAAACGAUUGUUCCAAA
rnacentral:lncRNA from 1 species